ACUUUCUCCCAUCACGCUCAGGUGGGACCAUCCAGUUUCAGGAAAACAAGCUUAACACGCCCACUGAUUCUACAUUAUGCUCCUACCUCCCGGCAGCCUCGCCAGGCCCAGAACUCUCUCCAGUCAGCCUCUACAGACCAAGCUCAUGACUCACAAUGGCCUAUUGAGGCCCAUACCCUACCUCACGGCAGUCUCCGCAGAUGAGCCUACUGCCUCACAACAGCCUCCACAGGCACAGCUCCAUCAUUACAAUGGCCUCUUUAGACCCAGCUCCUGCCUCCCAGCCUUCUCUCCAGGCCCUGAACUUUCUCCGUGGGACCAUCCAGUUUCAGGAAAACAAGCUUAACACGCCCACUGAUUCUACAUUAUGCUCCUACCUCCCGGCAGCCUCGCCAGGCCCAGAACUCUCUCCAGUCAGCCUCUACAGACCAAGCUCAUGACUCACAAUGGCCUAUUGAGGCCCAUACCCUACCUCACGGCAGUCUCCGCAGAUGAGCCUACUGCCUCACAACAGCCUCCACAGGCACAGCUCCAUCGUUACAAUGGCCUCUUUAGACCCAGCUCCUGCCGCCCAGCCUUCUCUCCAGGCCCUGAACUUUCUCCGUGGGACCAUCCAGUUUCAGGAAAACAAGCUUAACACGCCCACUGAUUCUACAUUAUGAUUCUUCAGGCCCAGCAUCUGCCUCACUGUGGACCCCCCAAGCCAAGCUCCCAACCUUUCAGCAGCUUCUACACACCCAGCUCCCGCCUGCCAGUGGCCUCUUCAGGCCCAUGGGGCUCAUUCCUCACAACAGCCUUUCCAGUCCCAGUUUUUCCCUUCCGGCAGCCUCUCCGGGCUGAGAACCUCCUCAAGUCGGCCUCUCCAGGCCCACUUGCACCCUCCAGGCGUCCUCUCCGGGCCAAGCUCCUCUUCCUGGCUGUGUCUCCAGGCCCGACUCCUGCCUCUCAACAACGUCUUUGGACUCAGUGCCUACCCAUCUCCUGGCGUCCUUGGUCGGCCCACAGCUUCCUCAAGCCAAGCUCCCCAGGCCCAGGUCAGGCCUCACGGUGCCCCCUCCACGAUGAGCUCCUGCCCUCCAAUGGCACCUGCAGGCCCCAAAUGGUCUCCGGUCGGUGGGCUCCUCCACGCCAAGCUUGGGCCUCCCGGUGACCUCUGCAGGCCCAAGUUGUCCUGAAGUCAGCAUCUCCCAGCCGUGCCUCCCAGCAAGUAAGCAAGCUCUUUUGGCUCAACUCCUGCCCAGCUCCCAACCGCCUUUGUAGGUCCCGAACUUUCUCCAGCCACGUUCUUUGGGCCUCAUUCCUGCCGCCCGGUGGCCUGUACGGGCCCAGCAAUGGUUGGAGAACGGCCUCUGCAGGUCCCGCUCUUGCCUCCCAGGGGCCUCUCCAGGCCCAGCUCUCGCCCCCACGGCGGCCACCCGGGGCCAAGUCCCUGCCUGCCUCCCAGCAGCCCGCAUGCGGCCCAGCUCCUCCCUCACGGUGGCCUGUUGAUGCCCAUGCCUCUGGUACCCUGCCCAGAGGCAUGAGCCCCUGCCACACACUGGCUCCUCCCACGCUGAGAGAGGUCAGCGUGAGCCCUUGCCUCACACCGGCCCCUCCCACGCUGAGAGAGGUCAGCGUGAGCCCCUUGCCUCACAUCGGCCCCUCCCACGCUGAGAGAGGUCGGCGUGAGCCCUUGACUCACACCGGCCCCUCCCACGGUGAGAGAGGUCAGCGUCACCCCCUUACCUCACACCGGCCCCUCCCACGCUGAGAGAGGUCGGCGUGAGCCCUUGCCUCACACCGGCCCCUCCCACGGUGAGAGAGGUCAGCGUCAGCCUCUUGCCUCACACCGGCCCCUCCCACGCUGAGAGAGGUCGGCGUGAGCCCCUUGCCUCACACCCGCCCCUCCCACGCUGAGAGAGGUCGGCGUGAGCCCCUUGCCUCACAUCGGCCCCUCCCACGCUGAGAGAGGUCGGCGUGAGCCCUUGACUCACACCGGCCCCUCCCACGGUGAGAGAGGUCAGCGUCACCCCCUUACCUCACACCGGCCCCUCCCACGCUGAGAGAGGUCGGCGUGAGCCCUUGCCUCACACCGGCCCCUCCCACGGUGAGAGAGGUCAGCGUCAGCCUCUUGCCUCACACCGGCCCCUCCCACGCUGAGAGAGGUCGGCGUGAGCCCCUUGCCUCACACCCGCCCCUCCCACGCUGAGAGAGGUCGGCGUGAGCCCCUUGCCUCACACCGGCCCCUCCCACGCUGAGAGAGGUCGGCGUGAGCCCUUGCCCCACACCGGCCCCUCCCACGCUGAGAGAGGUCAACAUGAGCCCCUUGCCUCACACUGGCCCCUCCCACGCUGAGAGAGGUCAGCGUGAGCCCCUUGCCUCACACCGGCCCCUCCCACGCUGAGAGAGGUCAGCAUGAGCCCCUUGCCUCACACCGGCCCCUCCCACACAGAAGAGGUCGGCGUGAGCCCUUGACUCACACCGGCCCCUCCCACGCUGAGAGAGGUCAGCAUGAGCCCCUUGCCUCACACCGGCCCCUCCCACACAGAAGAGGUCGGCGUGAGCCCUUGACUCACACCGGACCCUCCCACGGUGAGAGAGGUCAGCGUCACCCCCUUGCCUCACACCGGCCACUCCCACGUUGAGGGAGGUCAGCGUGAGCCCCUUGCCUCACACCGGCCCCUCCCACGCUGAGAGAGGUCAGCGUGAGCCCUUGCCUCACAGCGGCCCCUCCCACGGUGAGAGAGGUCAGCGUCAGCCCCUUGCCUCACACCGGCCCCUCCCACGCUGAGAGAGGUCAGCGUGAGCCCUUGCCUCACACCGGCCCCUCCCACGGUGAGAGAGGUCAGCGUGAGCCCUUGCCUCACACCGGCCCCUCCCCCGGUGAGAGAGGUCAGCGUCAGCCCCUUGCCUCACACCGGCCCCUCCCACGCUGAGAGAGGUCGGCGUGAGCCCUUGCCUCACACCGGCCCCUCCCACGCUGAGAGAGGUCAUCGUCAGCCCCUUGCCUCACACCGGCCCCUCCCACGCUGAGAGAGGUCAGUGUGAGCCCUUGCCUCACACCGGCCCCUCCCACGCUGAGAGAGGUCGGCGUCAGCCCCUUGCCUCACACCGGCCCCUCCCACGCUGAGAGAGGUCGGCGUGAGCCCUUGCCUCACACCGGCCCCUCCCACGCUGAGAGAGGUCAGCGUGACCCCCUGCCUCAACAGGCCACCCUGAGGGAGGAGCAGGGUCGCACGCGGGCUGCUGUGAGGCAGGCAGCGACUUGGGCCUGGGAGGUCGUGGUGGGGUGAGAGCUGGGCUUGGAGACUCCCCUGGGAGGCAACAGCGGGGCCUACAGACUCUGUUCUCCAGCCGGAGCUGGGACUGUUCAGGUACUGGGAGGUGGGAUGUGGGUCUGAAGAGCUUGGUUGCAGAAACUUCGGGGUCUACAAACGCAGGCGGGAGCUGAGCCAAAAAAGGUUGUUUGCUGGGAGGCGGGAGAUGCAGCCAGGAGAAACAGCUCUGCCUGCAGAGGCCGCCAUGCGGGAGGCGGAGGCCGGGCCUCCUCAAAUCGGCCUCUCCAGACCCACUUGCAGCCUCCCGGCAUCCUCUCCGGGCCCAGCUCUUCCUCCCGGCUGCGUCUCCAGGCCUGACUCUGGCCUCCCAACAACGUCUUUGGACUCAGCUCCUGCCCAGCUCCCAGCAGGCCCAAGUCGUCGUCAAGUCGGCCUGGAAUUGGGCCCGGAAGAGCAGCAAGUCGGCCUCCCCGGGCCCAGCUCCGUCCUCUCGGCGGCCUCUCCAGGUGCAAAACUUCCUCGAGUCAGCCUCUCCAGGCCCCGCUCCUCCUGCCUCCCAGUGGCCUCUUUCAGCCCAGACCAGCUCAUGGCUCUUGGCGGCCUUCCCAGGCCCCGCUUUUGACUUUUGGUGGCCUCUUCAGGCCCAGAACUUGACCUCCAGUGGGCCUUUGCAGGCCCGGCCUCCUGCCUCUCGAAGGCCUGCAUGGGCCCGGACUCACAGCGGACUCACAGCGGACUCUCCAUGCCCAGCUAGCUCUCGCCUCAUUGCGGCCUCCCGAGUCCAAAGCUCCUGCCUCUCGGCCGCUUCGGCAGGCCCAGCUCCCGCCUGCCAGUGGCCUCUUUAGGCCCAGCUCAUUCCUCACAACGGCCUUCCCAGGCCCCGUUUUUCCCUUCUGGCAGCCUCUUGGCCUCUAAUUUGUUUAUCUUUUGUGUAUAAAUCCCAAAAUAUUGAAUUUUGGAAUAUUUCCACCAUUAUGUAAAUAUUUUGGUAGGUGAUUUAUUUGGGGUGAGUUUCUGCACCAAGCCCGAAUUUUUUAUUUUAUUUUCCUUAUUAUUUGGUGUUAAACAGGUUUAAUGACGGUCAUGGCAACUGUUUGGCACAAUGAAAAAUAUCGCCCAUGA